GACGAACGCUGGCGGCGUGCUUAACACAUGCAAGUCGAACGGAAAGGCCCUGUUCUUGUGGGGUGCUCGAGUGGCGAACGGGUGAGUAACACGUGUGUAACCUGCCCUUGACUUUGGGAUAACUUCAGGAAACUGGGGCUAAUACCGGAUAGGAGCUCCUGCUGCAUGGUGGGGGUUGGAAAGUUUCGGCGGUUGGGGAUGGACUCGCGGCUUAUCCGCUUGUUGGUGGGGGAGUGGCUUACCAGGGCUUUGACGGGUAGCCGGCCUGAGAGGGGGACCGGCCACAUGGGGACUGGGAUACGCCCCGAACUCCUACGGGAGGAAGCAGGGGGGAUAAUGGAACAAUGGGCGGAAGCCGGAGGCAGCAACGCCGCUGGCGGGAUGACGGCCUUCGGGUGGUAAACCGCUUUGGCCUGGGACGAGGCGUGAGUGACGGUAAUGGGUAAAGAAGCACCGGCUAACUACGUG
rnacentral:rRNA from 1 species